GAAGAAGACUUCGUUGCAGGUCUUCAAGAAAAUGUAAUUCUUCGAGACAGGAACGGUUAUACUUCACCGAUAAGUGUUGUGAAAAUGCACAUUUUGUGCAUUGUAAAUACAUCUAGUGUGGGUAUGAGUAGCUAGCUUGCUCUUCUCUUUUGAGCGUGACUUACUUUUAAACGAGGUUUAGUUCAGUAACGUUAGCUUGUAUCUCUGCGCGUGGAUGUCCCUGUUCGGUAAUUACUAAUUAGCUAUAUCAACUGAAGAAAGGGAGUUUCAGUGAAAUGAGCAGUGUGGACCUGACAGGCAUGGUCGACUUGCUGGAGGGAAAGCGAGUAGAGAGGAUUUCUUGACACAUCUACCAAAAGCACUUGACGGGUUUGUAUUUUAUUUUGAG